UGCCAGGUCGGUGCGAUGUCGCAGGAUGCCCGAACGGUCCGCGUCGUCUGAACAAGGGUACUAAAAGCUCCGACAGCAAUGUGAACUACCACACGGUGCCGCCUGACGAACCUCGACGUUCCCGCUGGUUCAAUUCUGUUCCCAUGCUACAGCGGGAAGGAAAGGAGCCGAUGAGACGACAUGUGUGCUCUCUGCAUUUCCACCCUGAGGAUUACGAGCAUAAUUAUCUCUUAAGGCAAUCAGUGGAAGUGCCUUUCCAUGUGCGACUUCGUCGCAACGCUGUUCCGUCGAUAUGUCCUUCAUCCCACGAAGAACUUCAGACCUCUUCAUUCCACCUGAAACCAAUAGAAAUCAGUAGCGAAACCUUCACCUGGGAAGCACCGCUGCUGCAAGUCGAAUGUGUCGUGGCUCUUUCCCCUGACGCCAAAAACGCGGAGACGCAGACGGAUUUCCUGCAGAGCCCCGCAGAAAGAAUCGGUUAUGGUUACCGCAGCGUCGGAAAUGCGAAAGGAGUGCAGGCUAAACCCUUAUUGGGCCCGAGCGUUGGAAUCCAGGUGAACACAACAAUAAAGUUAAUGAGAUCUACGGCACUUCAAGUGAACACUUUAAAAACUAUAAAACCAAUUAGGCGACUGUGCCGUACUUAUGUCAGCUAGGCAACCAGUCAUGCACCGGAGAAGUAGGCCAAUAAAGGAGCUCAGCCACGCUCCCUCACCUGGUGCAUCUCCAGUACUGCGAGAACCUCACAGGCAUGACGCAACGUACAAGCAGGAAUUUCACUUGCACCCCAGAUGUGACCUUUGACGAAUCACAAGCUAUACCGAAAUGGGAAUUUCCACUGGGAGAAGUCGAUGCAGUGAUGUCACUUGGAUGAAGGCGACAGUGGAUGUUUGUCGAAGGAAGAAUGCUGAGGAGAGGUGUAUGCUCAAAGAAGUACAGCACAAAAGACAGUGAUGAACAAGUCUGCUGCCCCUGGGGGAGGAAAGUGCAAAGUGCAUGUGUGAGACACGGAAUACUCAAUCACAUGGCAUCUUUGGAAAGCUCCGUAGAAAACCAUCCACUGACCUGAAGUGCCACAGCUGGGAAUCGAACCCAUAACCUCGUUCUCAACACCUCAACACCAUAUAGCCACUGCAGAUAGGCAAGGGGCCAACCUUCCUGCAUUCCUACUGGUACAGGCUGCACACACUCCAUUUCAACCUCCCAUUUCAAGUCAACGAUGAUCAAAGGAUUGUCACUCUCGGCCUAAGCUCGGAGCGAAUGAGCCGCACAUUCUUGUUAUCCAAGGAAGGUAUGGAAACAGCCCGAUACAGUUGUCAUAACUGACACGACACUCUGCAACACAAGCAAGCCUGUAGAAAUUGGUACGCUACAAUAAAGUGUGACUCUUGCCU